CAGCAGCCACGUAGCACCCAUCCCGUCCCUAAGAACCACGGCCGCCUCACCUCUGCCGAUGCUUCCUGCGCGGCUCUGCAAACCUCGGGGCUGCCUCCGUCUACACGAGGCAACGCACAAAAUACAUCCUCGCUUGGCAGUAGUCAAAUAUCAGCCAAGGUCCGCCUGAAUAUCCACCACAAGGCAAUACUUUCCACGGGAGACCGAGAGAAACUGGGGAACACAGGGGUCAAAUUCCCGUCAUCUCCAGCGCACAGCCCCUCGCACCGGAUUGGCGGGUUUGUAAUAAUGCUGGCCAAUGGCGUGCUAGAGGCUGUGUUGGGAGCACAAGUGAGCGAAUAGACACACCCUCUGGCGCUGACGUCACCGUGGGGCGUGGUCUCGGCCCACGCUCCUGUACUGGUCCCAUCGCCUCCGAGUUGGUCACAUGGAGCGUCGUCUGGCAGCCAGCGAGCGCCAAUCAGCGGCCAGCACGGAGAGCGCAGUCCCGAAAUACUUGGGGCUGUAAUUGCGAAGGGGGAAAUGAAGUCAGCUGGAGUA